CGGGCUGUGGUAUAGUGGUAUUACGCACGCUUCGGGUGCGUGUAAUUCGAGUUCGAUUCUCGACAGCCCGACAA
rnacentral:tRNA from 1 species